rnacentral:rRNA from 1 species
AACGAACGCUGGCGGCAUGCCUAACACAUGCAAGUCGAACGAGACCUUCGGGUCUAGUGGCGCACGGGUGCGUAACGCGUGGGAAUCUGCCCUUGGGUGCGGAAUAACAGUUAGAAAUGACUGCUAAUACCGCAUAAUGACUCCGGUCCAAAGAUUUAUCGCCCAGGGAUGAGCCCGCGUCGGAUUAGCUAGUUGGUAGGGUAAAAGCCUACCAAGGCAACGAUCCGUAGCUGGUCUGAGAGGAUGAUCAGCCACACUGGGACUGAGACACGGCCCAGACUCCUACGGGAGGCAGCAGUGGGGAAUAUUGGACAAUGGGCGAAAGCCUGAUCCAGCAAUGCCGCGUGAGUGAUGAAGGCCUUAGGGUUGUAAAGCUCUUUUACCCGGGAUGAUAAUGACAGUACCGGGAGAAUAAGCCCCGGCUAACUCCGUGCCAGCAGCCGCAGUAAUAC